rnacentral:snRNA from 1 species
AAAGACUUGCCGUUACAACUG